AUACGUAGAUGGCGAGCGUUAUCCGGAAUGACUGGGCGUAAAGGGUGCGUAGGCGGUUAUAUAAGUCAGAUGUGAAAGUCCCGGGCUUAACUUGGGGAUUGCAUUUGAAACUAUGUAACUUGAGUGCAGGAGAGGUAAGUGGAAUUCCUAGUGUAGCGGUGAAAUGCGUAGAUAUUAGGAGGAACACCAGUGGCGAAGGCGACUUACUGGACUGUAACUGACGCUGAGGCACGAAAGCGUGGGGAGCGAACAGGAUUAGAUACCCUGGUAGUCCACGCUGUAAACGAUGAAUGCUAGGUGUGGGGAGUCAAAUCUCUGUGCCGCAGUAAACGCAAUAAGCAUUCCGCCUGGGGAGUACGGCCGCAAGGUUGA
rnacentral:rRNA from 1 species